rnacentral:rRNA from 1 species
GAUGAACGCUGGCGGCGUGCCUAAUACAUGCAAGUCGAGCGAACAGACGAGGAGCUUGCUCCUCUGACGUUAGCGGCGGACGGGUGAGUAACACGUGGAUAACCUACCUAUAAGACUGGGAUAACUUCGGGAAACCGGAGCUAAUACCGGAUAAUAUAUUGAACCGCAUGGUUCAAUAGUGAAAGACGGUUUUGCUGUCACUUAUAGAUGGAUCCGCGCCGCAUUAGCUAGUUGGUAAGGUAACGGCUUACCAAGGCAACGAUGCGUAGCCGACCUGAGAGAGUGAUCGGCCACACUAGAACUGAGACACGGUCCAGACUCCUACGGGAGGCAGCAGUAGGGAAUCUUCCGCAAUGGGCGAAAGCCUGACGGAGCAACGCCGCGUGAGUGAUGAAGGUCUUCGGAUCGUAAAACUCUGUUAUUAGGGAAGACCAAAUGUGUAAGUAACUAUGCACGUCUUGACGGUACCUAAUCAGAAAGCCACGGCUAACUACGUG